UUUAUUUUACAGAUGGGGAAACUGAGAACUAGAAAAAUGUAUUCGUUUACUCCUUGCCAAAAAGACAAUUCAAAGCAGAGUGGGAACUGGCUUCCAUGGACAUAUUUACAGUGAUUGGCUCUCCUUAAGCAAUAAAAAGGAAGAUCUUUUCUCACAACAGUGCAUUAGAAUCAGCCCUAAUAUAAAUGUCUUCUAUUCCACAGAUAGCUGGAAUGAGAAAACUCUCUGCUCAGAGUAGUUAAGAUCUGGCAAGAGAGUGUGUGUUCGACACAAGACAUUUGCACCCUCCCUAUCUGUUCAGCGAGCAGAAGUCAGGACCAGGAAGCUAAACUCCAGCUAGAAGUUUUCUCUGCAAUGAACUUUGGAUCUUCAGAGAUGAUCCACACCGUAUGUUCACACAAAGAACCCAGAAGUGGAGGAACGAGAAUGAUGGUUACUGGAAGGACGUGUCAGGGUUAAUCAUGAAGGAAGUAACCAAGGUACCUAACACCAGGUGAGUCAGUGUUCUUUAUGCUCUGUUUUAAGAACAAGUGUUAAAAAUCUAUA
rnacentral:lncRNA from 1 species